AGGACGAACGCUGGCGGCGUGCCUAACACAUGCAAGUCGAACGAAGCACUUUUCUCUGAGAUCGUCAAGGAGAAGAUUGACUUAGUGGCGGACGGGUGAGUAAUGCGUGAGCAACCUGCCCUUCAGAGGGGGACAACAGUUGGAAACGACUGCUAAUACCGCAUGAUGUAUCCGGGAGGCAUCUUCUGGAUACCAAAGAUUUUAUCGCUGAAGGAUGGGCUCACGUCUGAUUAGCUAGUUGGUGGGGUAACGGCCUACCAAGGCUGCGAUCAGUAGCCGGACUGAGAGGUUGAACGGCCACAUUGGGACUGAGAUACGGCCCAGACUCCUACGGGAGGCAGCAGUGGGGAAUAUUGGGCAAUGGGGGGAAACCCUGACCCAGCAACGCCGCGUGAAGGAAGAAGGUUUUCGGAUUGUAAACUUCUGUCCUUGGUGAAGAGAAGAAGACGGUAGCCAAGGAGGAAGCCCCGGCUAACUACGUGCCAGCAGCAGC
rnacentral:rRNA from 1 species